UCUCCCCUGCGGUGUUCGUGAUCGAUUGGUGAUUUUUAGAACCAACACAAACGGUCAGGGAGCCUGCUCUGUCCGUGGCCGGCGUAUCCCCCUGCGGGAAGGCCGAAAGCGGUUACCGGGCGCCCACCUAUGAACCACGGGUUCAUAAAUACUUUCGACACGGCACAGGCGGGGGAGAA
rnacentral:other from 1 species